rnacentral:rRNA from 1 species
UCUACGGGUGGCAGCAGUGGGGGAUAUUGGACAAUGGGGGGAACCCUGAUCCAGCGACGCCGCGUGAGUGAAGAAGUAUCUCGGUAUGUAAAGCUCUAUCAGCAGGGAAGAAGAAAUGACGGUACCUGAGUAAGAAGCGCCGGCUAACUACGUGCCAGCAGCCGCGGUAAUACGGAGGGGGCAAGCGUUAUCCGGAAUUACUGGGUGUAAAGGGAGCGUAGACGGUGAUGUAAGUCUGGAGUGAAAGGUGGGGGCCCAACCCCCGGACUGCUCUGGAAACUAUGUGACUGGAGUGCAGGAGAGGUGGGCGGAAUGCGUGGUGUAGCGGUGAAAUGCGUAGAUAUUAGGAGGAACACCAGUGGCGAAGGCAGCUCACUGGAGUGUAACUGACGUUGAGGCUCGAAAGCGUGGGGAGCGAACAGGAUUAGAUACCCUUGUAGUC